rnacentral:rRNA from 1 species
AGAACGAACGCUGGCGGCAUGCCUAACACAUGCAAGUCGAACGCUUGUCGAGGCUUCGGUUUCGGCGAGAGCGGCGCACGGGUGAGUAGCGCGUGGGAACCUGCCCUGUUGUGGGGGAUAACCGAGGGAAACUUCGGCUAAUACCGCAUACGCCGGGAAACCGGGAAAGAUUUAUCGCAGCAGGAGGGGCCCGCGUCGGAUUAGCUUGUUGGUGGGGUAACGGCCUACCAAGGCUUUGAUCCGUAGCUGGUCCGAGAGGAUGAUCAGCCACACUGGGACUGAGACACGGCCCAGACUCCUACGGGAGGCAGCAGUGGGGAAUAUUGGACAAUGGGCGCAAGCCUGAUCCAGCAAUGCCGCGUGAGUGAUGAAGGCCUUCGGGUUGUAAAGCUCUUUCGCACGCGACGAUGAUGACGGUAGCGUGAGAAGAAGCCCGGCUAACUUCGUGCCAGCAGCCGC